CACUCCUACGGGAGGCAGCAGUGGGGAAUUUUGGACAAUGGGCGAAAGCCUGAUCCAGCAAUGCCGCGUGUGUGAAGAAGGCCUUCGGGUUGUAAAGCACUUUUGUCCGGAAAGAAAUCCUUGGCUCUAAUACAGUCGGGGGAUGACGGUACCGGAAGAAUAAGCAACGGCUAACUACGUGCCAGCAGCCGCGGUAAUACGUAGGGUGCGAGCGUUAAUCGGAAUUACUGGGCGUAAAGCGUGCGCAGGCGGUUUGCUAAGACCGAUGUGAAAUCCCCGGGCUCAACCUGGGAACUGCAUUGGUGACUGGCAGGCUAGAGUAUGGCAGAGGGGGGUAGAAUUCCACGUGUAGCAGUGAAAUGCGUAGAGAUGUGGAGGAAUACCGAUGGCGAAGGCAGCCCCCUGGGCCAAUACUGACGCUCAUGCACGAAAGCGUGGGGAGCAAACAGGAUUAGAUACCCUAGUAGUCCCA
rnacentral:rRNA from 1 species